UAAUACGGAGGGUGCAAGCGUUGUUCGGAAUUACUGGGCGUAAAGCGCGUGUAGGCGGCUUGGCAAGUCGGCUGUGAAAUCCCUGGGCUUAACCCGGGAACUGCGACCGAAACUACCUAGCUAGAGUCUCGGAGAGGAAGGCAGAAUUCCCAGUGUAGGGGUGAAAUCCGUAGAUACUGGGAGGAAUACCGGUAGCGAAGGCGGCCUUCUGGACGAUGACUGACGCUCAGACGCGAAAGCGUGGGGAGCAAACAGGAUUAGAUACCCUGGUAGUCCACGCCGUAAACGUUGUGCACUAGGUGUCGGGGGUAUUCACCCCUCCGGUGCCGUAGCUAACGUAUUAAGUGCACCGCCUGGGGAGUACGGCCGCAAGGCUA
rnacentral:rRNA from 1 species